rnacentral:rRNA from 1 species
GACGAACGCUGGCGGCGUGCUUAACACAUGCAAGUCGAACGGAAAGGCCCUGCUUUUGUGGGGUGCUCGAGUGGCGAACGGGUGAGUAACACGUGAGUAACCUGCCCUUGACUUUGGGAUAACUUCAGGAAACUGGGGCUAAUACCGGAUAGGAGCUCCUGCUGCAUGGUGGGGGUUGGAAAGUUUCGGCGGUUGGGGAUGGACUGGCGGCUUAUCAGCUUGUUGGUGGGGUAGUGGCUUACCAAGGCGUUGACGGGUAGCCGGCCUGAGAGGGUGACCGGCCACAUUGGGACUGAGAUACGGCCCAGACUCCUACGGGAGGCAGCAGUGGGGAAUAUGGCACAAUGGGCGGAAGCCUGAUGCAGCAACGCCGCGUGCGGGAGGACGGCCUUCGGGUUGUAAACCGCUUUCGCCUGUGACGAAGCGUGAGUGACGGUAAUGGGUAAAGAAGCACCGGCUAACUACGUG